ACCGGAAGUGCUCGGGCGUCUUGUGGCAAUACUGGGAAAUGUUGGCAGUCAAACUUUCAGAAGACCGAGUUCGCUGAGGAGUAUUUAGGAACAUCUCACUUAUCUAGAAGAAAUCCCUUAUAUGGGAACAUCAACUACUUGGAAAUGUUCCAAUAAGGCAGAACACUCUUGAUAAGCAAGAGCAUCACUGUGAUCCCCGUCUACAUUUUGCUUCUCAAUUACUGAUGCACUGGCCACACUGAAGAUUCCAUGGAUGUUAACACGAACUUUAACCUUCACUUUGGAACUAUCACCAUCAGACUGCGGAAAGACAUUCUGAAUAGUGAAGCUCCCUUCAGGAAAAAAGAGCUUUUAUCAGCACAUGGGCCUCUGAUUAACUUACUCAAUUCGUUCAUUCAAUAAUUUGACUAUUAUCAUUUUGAUGCUGGCAAAUAAUCAUAAAAUUAUCAUCACAUCCAGAUUAAUUACUGUGAGAAAGGCACUGAUCCUAGAUCACUUUUUUUCUUUUUUACAGCUUAAUAAACUUAAUACUAAGUUUCAGAAAAGGUUAAGCAGCCUGCCCAAAAUCUUUAAUGCAAGGACAAAGACAGAUACACAUACAGGGAGAAUGUCAUGUGAACAUAAAGAUGGCCAGCCAUCCACAAACCAAGGAGAGAAGCCUGGAACAGAUCCUUCCCUCACAGCCCUCAGAAGGAACCCUGACAACACUUUGAUUUCAUACUUGAAGCUUCUAGAACUGUAGACAAUAAAUUCUACUGUUUAAGCCACUCA